rnacentral:misc_RNA from 1 species
GAGGCAUCCAUUAAAAGGAGAGGGUAAAAAAGACAAGGACAAAAAAAGCAGGAAAUCUUUUCAAGACCAGAGAGAAUCCAAGCAGAGAAGAGCACAAUCAUCCGUUCCACAGCCACCCAGCUAGGAGAGAGGGGAGGCUGUGAGAUUUGCAACAUAGAGAGAAUCUAUGCUCAUGGGCAGUAGCCAAAAAAAAUAAAAAAAU